rnacentral:rRNA from 1 species
GGAAUAUUGGUCAAUGGCCGGAAGGCUGAACCAGCCAUGCCGCGUGCAGGAAUAAGGUCCUAUGGAUUGUAAACUGCUUUUAUGUGGGAGCAAUAAGGUCUACGAGUAGACCGAUGAGAGUACCAUAUGAAUAAGCAUCGGCUAACUCCGUGCCAGCAGCCGCGGUAAUACGGAGGAUGCGAGCGUUAUCCGGAUUUAUUGGGUUUAAAGGGUGCGUAGGCGGAGAGUUAAGUCAGCGGUGAAAGUCCCUCGCUCAACGAGGGGAGUGCCGUUGAUACUGGCCCUCUUGAAUGCUCCUGCCGUGGGAGGAAUGUGUGGUGUAGCGGUGAAAUGCAUAGAUAUCACACAGAACACCGAUUGCGAAGGCAUCUCACGAAGGGGUGAUUGACGCUGAGGCACGAAAGCGUGGGGAUCGAACA